rnacentral:lncRNA from 1 species
AUAUAAGACAUGAUUGGUUAUAAAGACGGUCCAACAAGUACAAAACAUGUCCUAGAGAAAAGUAUAUGUCAGCCAAGAUUGGCUUCUAGGGCACACAUCCAACAAACUCUCAUUUGCACUAAAGCCAAUUUGCCAUAUACCUGAGCCCCAUCUUCUGAAGAUAGGCUUCGGUGUUUAGCUAGCCAAGUGACUUGGGCCUAUCAUUAUUAUGUGGAGUCUACUCUCUCUACCUCCAUGUAUUUCUACUUGAAGUAAUUGCGUAUAUCUCUGCUCUAUGUGCAUGAACUUCUGGUG